rnacentral:rRNA from 1 species
AAGAGAGAAGCUUGCUCUUCUUGGAUGAGUUGCGAACGGGUGAGUAACGCGUAGGUAACCUGCCUUGUAGCGGGGGAUAACUAUUGGAAACGAUAGCUAAUACCGCAUAACAAUGGAUGACACAUGUCAUUUAUUUGAAAGGGGCAAUUGCUCCACUACAAGAUGGACCUGCGUUGUAUUAGCUAGUAGGUGAGGUAAUGGCUCACCUAGGCGACGAUACAUAGCCGACCUGAGAGGGUGAUCGGCCACACUGGGACUGAGACACGGCCCAGACUCCUACGGGAGGCAGCAGUAGGGAAUCUUCGGCAAUGGGGGCAACCCUGACCGAGCAACGCCGCGUGAGUGAAGAAGGUUUUCGGAUCGUAAAGCUCUGUUGUAAGUCAAGAACGGGUGUGAGAGUGGAAAGUUCACACUGUGACGGUAGCUUACCAGAAAGGGACGGCUAACUACGUGCCAGCAGCCGCGGUAAUACGUAGGUCCCGAGCGUUGUCCGGAUUUAUUGGGCGUAAAGCGAGCGCAGGCGGUUUGAUAAGUCUGAAGUUAAAGGCUGUGGCUCAACCAUAGUUCGCUUUGGAAACUGUCAAACUUGAGUGCAGAAGGGGAGAGUGGAAUUCCAUGUGUAGCGGUGAAAUGCGUAGAUAUAUGGAGGAACACCGGUGGCGAAAGCGGCUCUCUGGUCUGUAACUGACGCUGAGGCUCGAAAGCGUGGGGAGCGAACAGGAUUAGAUACCCUGGUAGUCCACGCCGUAAACGAUGAGUGCUAGGUGUUGGAUCCUUUCCGGGAUUCAGUGCCGCAGCUAACGCAUUAAGCACUCCGCCUGGGGAGUACGACCGCAAGGUUGAAACUCAAAGGAAUUGACGGGGGCCCGCACAAGCGGUGGAGCAUGUGGUUUAAUUCGAAGCAACGCGAAGAACCUUACCAGGUCUUGACAUCCCGAUGCUAUUUCUAGAGAUAGAAAGUUACUUCGGUACAUCGGUGACAGGUGGUGCAUGGUUGUCGUCAGCUCGUGUCGUGAGAUGUUGGGUUAAGUCCCGCAACGAGCGCAACCCCUAUUGUUAGUUGCCAUCAUUCAGUUGGGCACUCUAGCGAGACUGCCGGUAAUAAACCGGAGGAAGGUGGGGAUGACGUCAAAUCAUCAUGCCCCUUAUGACCUGGGCUACACACGUGCUACAAUGGUUGGUACAACGAGUUGCGAGUCGGUGACGGCGAGCUAAUCUCUUAAAGCCAAUCUCAGUUCGGAUUGUAGGCUGCAACUCGCCUACAUGAAGUCGGAAUCGCUAGUAAUCGCGGAUCAGCACGCCGCGGUGAAUACGUUCCCGGGCCUUGUACACACCGCCCGUCACACCACGAGAGUUUGUAACACCCGAAGUCGGUGAGGUAACCUUGUGGAGCCAGCCGCCUAAGGUGGGACAGAUGACUGGGGUG